AUUGAACGCUGGCGGCAUGCCUAACACAUGCAAGUCGAACGAGAUCUUCGGGUCUAGUAGCGCACGGGUGCGUAACGCGUGGGAAUCUGCCCUUUGGUUCGGAAUAACAGUUGGAAACGACUGCUAAUACCGGAUGAUGACGAAAGUCCAAAGAUUUAUCGCCAGAGGAUGAGCCCGCGUAGGAUUAGCUAGUCGGUGUGGUAAAGGCGCACCAAGGCGACGAUCCUUAGCUGGUCUGAGAGGAUGAUCAGCCACACUGGGACUGAGACACGGCCCAGACUCCUACGGGAGGCAGCAGUGGGGAAUAUUGGACAAUGGGCGAAAGCCUGAUCCAGCAAUGCCGCGUGAGUGAUGAAGGCCCUAGGGUUGUAAAGCUCUUUUACCCGGGAUGAUAAUGACAGUACCGGGAGAAUAAGCCCUGGCUAACUCCGUGCCAGCAGCCGCCGUAACAC
rnacentral:rRNA from 1 species